AAUUUUGGACAAUGGGGGAAACCCUGAUCCAGCCAUGCCGCGUGUAUGAUGAAGGCCUUCGGGUUGUAAACUGCUUUUGUACGGAACGAAAAGUCUUGGACUAAUACCCUGGGUUCAUGACGGUACCGUAAGAAUAAGCACCGGCUAACUAUGUGCCAGCAGCCGCGGUAAUACGUAGGGUGCAAGCGUUAAUAGGAAUUACUGGGCGUAAAGAGUGCGCAGGCGGUUUUGUAAGACAGUGGUGAAAUACCCGGGCUCAACCUGGGAACUGCCAUUGUGACUGCAAGGAUGGAGAGCAGCAGAGAGGGAUGGAAUUCCGCGUGUAGCAGUGAAAUGCGUAGAUAUGCGGAGGAACACCGAUGGCGAAGGCAAUCCCCUGGGCAUGCACUGACGCUCAUGCACGAAAGCGUGGGGAGAAAACAGG
rnacentral:rRNA from 1 species